CAGAAGUCAGGUCGGAUUAAGCCAUAGUACGGAAAAAACUAUGCUACCUGUGAGCCCCGUCCAAGGACGUAAAAAGAAGUCAGGCCACUACAAGUGCCAUAGCUUGAGUAAACUAUGCAGCCUGUAGCUCCACCUGAGGUGGUGC
rnacentral:lncRNA from 1 species